rnacentral:misc_RNA from 1 species
AAGUCGUAACAAGGUUUCCGUAGGUGAACCUGCGGAAGGAUCAUUCAUAAUAAGUGUUUUAUGGCACUUUUUAAAUCCAUACCCACCUUGUGUGCAACGUAAGAAGAAAAAAAGAAGAUGCGAGUCAUGGGGAAACCCAAGUCUUGCUCCCUUUCUUUUUUCUUUUCCACAUACACCUUUCUAUUAGUUCCUAUUGUCUGAAGCUGUUAGAGAAUGACUAAUUCUUAAACAUAACUUUCAACAACGGAUCUCUUGGCUCUC